rnacentral:lncRNA from 1 species
CUAAUCUUACUACCAGUAAGGUGCAUCAUGCAAAGUUGAUCCUAUAAUAAAAUUCUAAUUUUUCUAUGCAAAAGAUAUGUUGUUGAGUAAAGCAAUUCGAAGAAGUAAAGCCAAGGGCCUAGCCAAUGGGAGGGGUGGAAUAUGUGAGAAGCUAUCUUCUAUCUGGAUGAGGUCUAAAGAUUGGAUUGAGAAAGUCCUGGAUGAGCUAUGCACCCCAGGCCAAGCCACUGUGCUUAUAGAAAAAUCCUGAGAGACCUCAUGCCUUAGGUCAGAUCACCAUACCCAUAAAAUCUCAACUAUCCUGGGUGCCUCUAGUAGUGGAAGAUUUCGAGCCUUGAGGCUAGAGUAAGCGCAUAUAGGAUAAAAGCUCUGAGAAAGCCUUAGAUGAGCUAUGCACCCCAAGUAGGACCACCGCAUUUAUAGGAAAAUCUUAGGUGAGAUACAAGCCCC